GCUGAACUCAGGGGCUUGCACCUGUAAUCCCAGCACUUGGGAGGCUGAGGCGGAAGGAUCCCUUGAGCCCAAAGUUUGAGACCAGCCUGGGCAACACAGUGAGACCCUGUCUCAG
rnacentral:sRNA from 1 species